AUUGAACGCUGGCGGCAGGCCUAACACAUGCAAGUCGAACGAGUGGCGGACGGGUGAGUAAUGUCUGGGAAACUGACCGAUGGAGGGGGAUAACUACUGGCACCGGUAGCUAAUACCGCAUACAAUCGGAUGUGCCCAGAUGGGAGUAGCUAGUAGGUGGGGUAAAGGAUCACCUAGGCGACGAUCCCUAGCUGGGCUUAGAGGAUGACCAGCCACACGUGAACUGAGACACGGUCCAGACUCCUACGGGAUGCAGCAGUGGGGAAUAUUGCACAAUGGGCGCAAGCCUGAUACAGCCAUGCCGCGUGUAUUAAGAAGGCCUUCGGGUUGUAAAGUACUUUCAGCGGGGAGGCGUUACCCGCAGAAGAAGCACCGGCUAACUCCGUGCCAGCAGCCGCGGUAAUUC
rnacentral:rRNA from 1 species